CCGGUUGAUCCUGCCGGACCCGACCGCUAUCGGGGUAGGGCUAAGCCAUGGGAGUCGAACGCCCCGCCGCUGCGGGGCGUGGCGGACGGCUGAGUAACACGUGGCUAACCUACCCUCGGGACGGGGAUAACCCCUCGGGAAACUGGGGCUAAUCCCCGAUAGGCGGGGGGUGCCUGGAAGGGUCCUCCGCCGAAAGGGGCCGCGGGGGGUUAUCGCCCGCGGUCCGCCCGAGGAUGGGGCUGCGGCCCAUCACGGUAGUUGGCGGGGUAAUGGCCCGCCAAGCCUACGACGGGUAGGGGCCGUGAGAGCGGGAGCCCCCAGAUGGGCACUGAGACAAGGGCCCAGGCCCUACGGGGCGCACCAGGCGCGAAAACUCCGCAAUGCGGGCAACCGUGACGGGGCUACCCCGAGUGCCCCCCUUGGGGGGGCUUUUCCCCGCUGUAAGUAGGCGGGGGAAUAAGCGGGGGGCAAGACUGGUGUCAGCCGCCGCGGUAAUACCAGCCCCGCGAGCGGUCGGGGCUGUCUUACUGGGCCUAAAGCGCCCGUAGCCGGCUCGACAAGUCCCCGCCUAAAGCCCCGGGCUCAACCCGGGGAGUGGCGGGGAUACUGUCGGGCUAGGGGGCGGGAGAGGCCGAGGGUACUCCCGGGGUAGGGGCGAAAUCCAUUAAUCCCGGGAGGACCACCAGUGGCGAAGGCGCUCGGCUGGAACGCGCCCGACGGUGAGGGGCGAAAGCCGGGGGAGCGAACCGGAUUAGAUACCCGGGUAGUCCUGGCUGUAAACGAUGCGGGCUAGGUGUUGGGCGGGCGUGCGAGCCCGCCCAGUGCCGCAGGGAAGCCGUUAAGCCCGCCGCCUGGGGAGUACGGCCGCAAGGCUGAAACUUAAAGGAAUUGGCGGGGGAGCACCACAAGGGGUGGAGCCUGCGGCUUAAUUGGAGUCAACGCCGGGAACCUCCACCGGGGGCGACAGCAGGAUGACGGCCAGGCUGAAGGCCUUGCCCGACGCGCUGAGGGGAGGUGCAUGGCCGUCGCCAGCUCGUGCCGUGAGGUGUCCUGUUAAGUCAGGCAACGAGCGAGACCCCCGCCCCUAGUUGCCAUCCCCGGGGCGACCCGGGGGGCACACUAGGGGGACUGCCGCCGCUAAGGCGGAGGAAGGAGGGGGCAACGGCAGGUCAGCAUGCCCCUAAACCCCCGGGCUGCACGCGGGCUACAAUGGCGGGGACAGCGGGUGCCGACCCCGAAAGGGGGAGGCAAUCCCUCAAACCCCGCCUCAGUUGGGAUCGAGGGCUGCAACUCGCCCUCGUGAACGUGGAAUCCCUAGUAACCGCGCGUCAUCAUCGCGCGGUGAAUACGUUCCUGCU
rnacentral:rRNA from 2 species